GACAGAGGCCUCGAGCGUUAGGCGGAAUCACUGGGCUUAAAGCGUGUGUAGGCGGAUCGUUAAGUGCCUUGUGAAAUCCCACGGCUUAACUGUGGAACGGCUGGGCAUACUGGCGGUCUUGAGCCAUCUAGGGGCGACUGGAACAAACGGUGGAGCGGUGAAAUGCGUAGAUAUCGGUUUGGAACGCCAAUGGUGAAAACAGGUCGCUGGGGAUGAGCUGACGCGUGAGAACACGGAAAGCCAGGGGAGCAAACGGG
rnacentral:rRNA from 1 species